GAUGAACGCUAGCUACAGGCUUAACACAUGCAAGUCGAGGGCGGGGCGCAGGGGUGAGUAGCACGUAUCCCACCUGCCCUGUACUCGGGGAUAGCCUUUCAAGAGAAAGAUUAAUACCCGAUAUAAAGGAUGGGGAUGCGUUCGAUUAGGUUGUUGGUGAGGUAACGGCCCACCAAGCCUUCGAUGGAUAGGCGUUCUGGGUGGAAGGUCCCCCACAUUGGAACUGAGACCCGGUCCAAACUCCUACGGGAGGCAGCAGUGAGGAAUAUUGGUCGAUGGGCGCUAGCCUGACCCAGCCAAGUAGCGUGAAGGAUGAAGGCUUAUGGGUCGUAAACUUCUUUUAUAUAAGAAUAUGUAUUAUAUGAAUAAGGAUCGGCUAACUCCGUGCCAGCCGCCGCGGUAAUUC
rnacentral:rRNA from 1 species